AUUGAACGCUGGCGGCAGGCUUAACACAUGCAAGUCGAGCGAGCGGCGGACGGGUGAGUAAUGUCUGGGAAACUGCCUGAUGGAGGUGGAUAACUACUGGAAACGGUAGCUAAUACCUCAUACCAUCAGAUGUGCCCAGAUGGGAUUUGCUAGUCGGUGGGGUAAUGGCUCACCUAGGCGACGAUCCCUAGCUGGGCUGAGAGGAUGACCAGCCACACUGGAACUGAGACACGGUCAAGACUCCUACGCGAGGCAGCAGUGGGGAAUAUGGGGCAAUGGGCGAAAGGCUGAUGGAGCCAUGCCGCGUGUGUGAAGAAGGCAUUCGGGUUGUAAAGCACUGUCAGCGAGGAGGCGUUACUCGCAGAAGAAGCACCGGCUAACUCCGUGCCAGCAGCCGCGGUAAUUC
rnacentral:rRNA from 1 species